rnacentral:lncRNA from 1 species
AUGGGCAUGAGUCCUCAACAUCCGAGAGAAGAAGGAGAGCAGCUGUUCCCCUUGUGUAUGAACUCCCAGAUUCAUAUUUAUGGGCUUCCUCACCUACAGUACAGACCCUCGUAUAUGUUGGGUGACAUCUAUCUGGCUUUCAUCAUGAAUGAUGUUCCAUGAAACAGAUUUCUGCUCUAACGUUGUGCGAAGGCUUGC